rnacentral:rRNA from 1 species
UACGGGGGGGGCAAGCGUUGUUCGGAAUUACUGGGCGUAAAGGGCUCGUAGGCGGCCAACUAAGUCCGACGUGAAAUCCCCAGGCUUAACCUGGGAACUGCGUCGGAUACUGGAUGGCUUGAAUCCGGGAGAGGGAUGCGGAAUUCCAGGUGUAGCGGUGAAAUGCGUAGAUAUCUGGAGGAACACCGGUGGCGAAGGCGGCAUCCUGGACCGGCAUUGACGCUGAGGAGCGAGAGCCAGGGGAGCAAACGGG